UACGUAGGGACCAAGCGUUGUCCGGAAUCAUUGGGCGUAAAGCGCGCGUAGGCGGUUGCCUAAGUCAGAUGUGAAAGCCCUCGGCUCAACUGGGGAAGUGCAUCUGAAACUGGGCAGCUAGAGUACCAAAGAGGGUCGCGGAAUUCCCGGUGUAGAGGUGAAAUUCGUAGAUAUCGGGAGGAACACCGGUGGCGAAGGCGGCGACCUGGGUGGAUACUGACGCUGAGGCGCGAAAGCGUGGGGAGCAAACAGG
rnacentral:rRNA from 1 species